AACGAACGCUGGCGGCAUGCCUAACACAUGCAAGUCGAACGAGACCUUCGGGUCUAGUGGCGCACGGGUGCGUAACGCGUGGGAACCUGCCCUUAGGUUCGGAAUAACUCCCCGAAAGGGGUGCUAAUACCGGAUAAUGUCUUCGGACCAAAGAUUUAUCGCCCUUGGAUGGGCCCGCGUUGGAUUAGCUAGUUGGUAGGGUAAAAGCCUACCAAGGCGACGAUCCAUAGCUGGUCUGAGAGGAUGAUCAGCCACACUGGGACUGAGACACGGCCCAGACUCCUACGGGAGGCAGCAGUGGGGAAUAGUGGACAGUGGGCGAAAGCCUGAUCCAGCAAUGCCGCGUGAGUGAUGAAGGCCUUAGGGUUGUAAAGCUCUUUUACCCGGGAUGAUAAUGACAGUACCGGGAGAAUAAGCUCCGGCUAACUCCGUG
rnacentral:rRNA from 1 species